AAUGCAUGUACUAAUUAUGCAUAGAUGGAAAUGCUAAGUAGAGAGCAUAAUGAGCAUAGCAUGUAUAUAAUGCUAGUUGAAGUAGAGAAUCCAAAGUAGCAUCAUGAAAGCUAAGUAAGUGACAUGAUAACUCUAGUGUAAAUAGAGUUGAUUGGACAACUAGGUUGUCGGAUAGAUCGAGUGGCAUCUAACCUAGUGUUAAAGAACAUAGGUUGAUUAGUAAACCUAGAGUCGAACAAUCUAGGUGUGUGGCAUUUAACCUAGUGUCAGUAAACCCAGGUUGAACUAGUAAACCUAGAAAUGGACAUCUAGGCAAAGAUGAUAAGAACCUAGCAAGUGUAUCUAGGUUAAGUGAUGUGGACAUAGAACCUAGAGUGUUGGAACCUAGGUUGAUGAGUAUAGUGAUAUAGCCACUAGAUUGAGCUAGGUCGACAGUAUAGGGUUGGCUAUGAACCCUCGACCUGUGGUAAGUGGAUUUCGGAAUCCCAGGACUUUGCUAUGUUCCUUGUACGGGAUUCGCCGCCGCGCUUUGUACCGAGGUUAGAUUGGGGGCGAUCACAUGAAGAUCACCGCCCGGGGCUUGAACCAUUGUCAUGGCUUUUGUGCGACGAUUUCGCCGCCGAAUGGUUAAGCCGUUUGAGGAUCAGACCGCCAGAGUAGACUGAAUCCAUGCUGGAUAAGUACGAUGCGGGUGCCUCCAGGUGACUGAGUCUGACAUGACCGUUGUUGGGUGUGGUGCGACCCGUUCGCCACCAGACGGUAUGUCAUGUCUCGAGCUCACGCUGGGUAAGUGCAACGCGAUCGCCACCGAUGGUCAAGUCUUGUGACUCGAGCCGUGUUCAGCGUGUGCGACGAUUUCGCCGCUAGGAGGCUGAGUCAGAGAGAGUGCGGUAGGCUGUUGAGCAGCCAGUGCGCGGACUAUCCGCGGAUGAUUGACUCGAAGCCGAGUCAGGUGGUUAGCUAUGAUAGGGUACAGGAACCCUUAUGAGCUAGAGAUAGAGGCUUGAGCUAAGGUAAAUAGAAACCUUAGAAGUUAGUAGUUGGUGUUGUGAUCCUAAGGUAAUAGAAACCUUAGAGUAAAAUUAUGAGCUAAAGCAGUCAAGUAAAAGUAGAAUUAAAAUGAUAUACUAGAUGUUGCAUGUUGUUCAUAUCGCAUAUCGUGAGGCAUGGCAUGUAUUUCAAUUGAAUAUAUAUAUCUGUUGUAUAUUGUUGAACUAACAUGUUGCAGUGCCUCCUCGGACCUAUCGGUCGAGCUUUUCCCUUGGGUGGCCGUACCCACUAGAAACCAUGGAGUUGGUUCUCACCCCACGUUGUUUUGGGGUUUUCAGGUCGUUCGUGUGCGGCGCUGCGGCGCGAGGCGAGGGCGUAGCUCAGUAGAUAGCGCCCCACCACAGAGACCGAGGUAGCAGUACCCUGAGACAACCUAGCUUAGGGGUCUAGAAGACAAGAAAAGAAAAUGUAUCAAACUCUGAUGUAAUAGCAAGAUUAUAAUUUGGAAGUAAAAAUGUAAACAGAAACUGUGAUGUAUAACGUGAUUGUGAAAUGAAUGCUUGUAAUAGCAAGUAGAUUAUGUAUUUGAUACUUCCAUAUGCAAUCUGGAUUGAUAUCCGUUCCUUGUUGGAACAUUCGUUGAUUGUUUGGAUUGCGACGCCUUGGACGUACUGGGGAGACUCUGUCCGCGUACAAAGAAAUCCCCGGUCCGUUCGGCGGUCUGUCGUCGGCGCCGCGACCCGGUCCAAAUAGGCGGUUGGUCGCGGGGCGUGACAGAUAAGAUGGUAUCAGAGCAUAAAGUAGAAAAUGGAAAAAAUAGUUUAGACAGACCUAGGAGACCCUAGGAUAGCAAACCAUAGGAGAUUAAGGCUCGUAAGAGACGAGGACUUAUUUCUUUUGGCGAAAGGUUAAUCGAUUGGGUUGUGUCACAACCUCUAAGACGGAUAUUAGAGGUAGACUCAAGGUAUGGUUUAUUCUCGACCAAGUGUGUUUAUGUUUGGCGCGCACAACAUAAAGCCGAGUGACGAGAAUAGACGUCCUUGUUUUACUUUCGCCUGAUUGGCUUUUGAGCCGGUGUUAGUGGUCUCGUGUUCGACCCGGAGGGUCGAGGACUAAUCGAGUUGUCGUGUUUCAGGAAACGAUGGCACCGCGUAGGCGAUCUUCGUCCAGAUCGGCGCGGGAGGGGACAAGUGGCGUCCCCGAGCAAAUCAACGCGAGUGGAGACUCGGAGCUUCGCGAUCAGUUGGCCACACUCAUUGGAGUGAUGCGGCAACAAGCUGAUGUGGUGCAGCGGCAGCAGGAGGCUGCUAUGCGCCAACAGGAGCGAAUGGAACGACUCCAAGAGACUGUGGAUCGGCUGGUGGCAGCACCAGCUGCGGUUGGUCGAGGACAGCCGGGAGUUGCGGCGGAGCUGUUUCCGUCGGGGUCGGGCGAUCCGACUCCUGUUGGCCCAGAGGUUGCGGCGGAAAGGGAGCGAGCUUUAGCAGCCCUCAUGACUUUCAAGAAGUUUGAUCCGCCUACCUUUGAUGGUGAAGAUGCAGAUCCGUGGGUCGUUGAGAUGUGGAUCGAUUCCAUGAAAACACUCUUUGAGGAUCUGUACACGCUGGAGCGAGACAAAGUGAAUCUAGCCGCGCAUUACCUGAAACAAUCAGCGAAGGUGUGGUGGAAAGGCGUCAAGCGAGAUCGACCGCCUAGUCUCCCUCCUAUAACUUGGGAAGAGUUUCGGGGAAUGUUGUUCUCUGCUUAUUUCCCCGAUAGCGAGAAGCGGAAACUUCAGGAGAGGUUUCUUAAGCUGCGGCAGGGAAGUCGCACGGUCAGGCAAUACGAGCGAGAAUUUUCCCGUAUUGUGCAUUGUGUCCCAAACGUGGUGCGGGAUGACAAGGACAAGGCCGACUGCUUUGUGCGUGGACUUCGGCCAGACCUGUACCAGACGGUGCUUGUGCUAAAGUUGCAGACUUUUGCUGAAGUCCUGGAUCGGGCCUUGUGGAUAGAACAAGGCAAUGCUUUCCUGCGGGAGAAGCGUGAGGAGCAUUACAAGGAAAAGGGAAAAGAACGGCCGGUGAGUGGACACGAUGGUCAGUCAAGUUCCAAACGGACCUCAGUGAGGACGCGCUCUCGAUCUAGAGCUCCGGGGACGUAUCACAUUCGGUCCUCGGCGAGAUGUGCAAUUUGUGGAGGCCCUCAUUUUCCACAGCAAUGCGAACAACGAGAGGGCAAGUGCUUCAAGUGUGGGCUGCCGGGCCAUGUGCGGGACGAGUGUCCACAGGGUGAUAACCGGGCCUUGACACUGGCGAUGGCCCAUUCCUCCUUGGGACAGCCGGCGGGUGUGCCACCUGCGGCAUGGUCGGGGGAGCGGCCGUUGAGAGUGAUGCAACCAGAGGGUUCGCGACGGGCGCCAAGUGGCCAUGGAUAAGCGACCCGAGCUGUGGUGCCUGCCGUUGCUGACGACGUUGUGGCAGGUAUGAGUUAAUUGAGCAAGCAUAUACUUUUACAUGAUCUCAAGUUGAUGCAUAGUAUGCAUUUAUCAUAUGGUCAGUUGCUACUAUUUAUACAUUGCAUAGUAGGGACCGAAUAGUCGGAUAAGUAGACACCCGUACAUGCUUGCGUUGUGAGAAGUGGCACCUGCUGGUGCAAGCCGAACGCCAAGUGGUGCUGGCAAAUGGCUAGUGGUGAUGUUGGACAGGAAACGAGGCUCGCAAUGGAAACCGAGUGAUGAAAGGACUCUCAAAGUGAUGGGUUAGAGAUUUACAGAGUCGGGCUUUGAUGUUUGGGAACGCGCGAAUAUCCCAAAAGUAUUUCGGAUGUGGAUUCGGUAAAUCGAACGGUGGAGAUGAACCACUGUCGCUAAAUUGGCUGGUUAGUGCCGAGUUUGGCCUGUUGGCCUAGUAGUACCUCGAGUUGAGGUGGAUGAGUUAUGCCUGUGUGGUAGGUGUGCAUAGGCUAAGUUGCCUAAUGCUAGGCUUCGUGUGAGACGCUGUAGAGGCUUAAAGCGCUCGAGUAUAGAUACUCGUAGAGUACGGUUUCGAUUCAGCCGGUCGAGUGAAUUGGCAGUAGCACUUCAGCAGGGCUAAGUGUGAAGCGGGCCAUAGAUCACUCGUGAGGGCUGAUGGCUCGCACUAGGUGCCUAGGAGCCGAUAGAGUGUGUAGCUCUGUAGAGCAUGUCGUGUAGGACGACGUUGGCGGGUAGUGCUUGGGGACGACCCGUGCCUGGACCAUCUGUGGACUAUGGAGCCUGGGCCCAUUGGGCAGGCGCAGUCAACUGUGAGAGACAGCGGCCCGAUACCUAUAGGUAGGGCGGAGAGUUUUGGUCAGGACGGUAGUCCGAGCUGAGACCCGAGUACGUGGAAUGCCACGUGAUAGAUCAUGAGAUUGAUGACGCACCGAGUGUGUGGUGACCCAACCCAAGGAUUAGAUGUGGAUUGGGAUCUUGAUAGCUCCUGGUUGGAGUGUGUGCGAGUUCUCCAAUGAGAAUGUCGCCCAAUGAUGAUUAGGUCUACGCUUGCGAGCGAGAGACGCUAGGCGUCGUUGAGACGAGUUUAGUCGGUAGGCCUACGUAAGGUGGGUGACUGUUGGUCCACCCGUAGAGAUUGAUGGUCGAUGCGACCAAUGACCCUGUGAAUGAGCUUAGACUUCAGUUGCGAACGAAGGGUUCGUGCAAAUUCACCGCCGGAGUAGAGUGGCGUUGAUCGUGGCUUAUGGUUUUAAAGGAUAAAGAGAAUCGAAGUGCUCUUAUAAGGCCUCGAGUUAAUGAAAGCCACGUGAGAAUUGGAGUUGAUACGCUCAAGUUAGUGGAAACAAGUGGAUGAUACUCUCAGGGGAGUUGAGGUUGAGACAUGCCGAAGUGUGCCAUCUCGUGAUAGGGCAAAGAUUCGAUUGAGAUUGAAGCACUCGCGAUUGGCCGAAGCACCGAUGAUAUGGUUGAUAUGCAAUGCCGGUGGUCGGAAUCGGAGUGGAAAGGUAUGAUGGUACCCUCAAUAACUCGGUAGGCCAAGUUGAUGUGGUUUGAAUUUCGCGGACGAAAUUCUUUUAAGGUGGGGAGAAUGUAACCCCCGAGGUUUCGGAAGAAAUUAUCGAACUUUAGCCAAACCGACUACAAUAUGCGAAGAAGAUGGAUGGACAUGUUUCCGUUGGUAUUCCAACAUGAUUGGAAGGGUAAAAGUGAGUUCCAAAGGAGUUGGAAGGAUCUUAACAUCGUACGGCGUGAAAUAGAGCUGAAAAGAAGUGAAAACAGCAUUCUGCAGGUGCUGUACCGGUACAAGCAUGAUGGCUGUACCGGUACAACCAUCACGGAACAGUGCUACGGCGCUGUACCGGUACAAGGGGGCCUUGUACCGGUACAAAACCCGCGAAACCAAGCAAGCCAGCUCUCGGUUUUGGUUGUCUGUCAGGCCUUGUACCGGUACAAGAGCCCGUGUACCGGUACAAGGGACCCAGAACAGUGGGUUAAGUUGGAAAAACGAAAAAUAUUGAGGGGCUAGGUGGAUAUUGUUACAAUACACUAUUAGAGAGUGUUUUAUCUCACUCUCUCUCACUCCCACAGCUCCCUCCAUCUCUCUCUGUUCGUGACCAAGGGGAGAACCGAAGGGAGAAGAAAAGAAGGAAGGAAAGCAAGGAAAGGAAAAGAGAGAAAGAAAGAGAGGAAGAAAAAGAGAAAAGCAAGGAGAAGAAGAAGAAGAUCUUCAUCUUCAUCCUCAUCUUCAUCUUCUUCCUCAUUUUGGAGCUUUUGAGAGGUAAGCUUCUUGCUCCCUCUAAUGGUGAAUUUUGGUAGAAUGGGUUUUAAACCCUAGAACCCAGAGUUUUGAAGCUUCUAACUUAUUUAGAACCUUGUGGAGAGCUAGAACACCAUGAAAUCCAUGGUUGUCUCAUGAAGCUCUAAUGGUGGAAUUCUAGGGUUUGCUUUAAACACCCUAGAAAUGGUUUGAAUGCUCCUAGUUGAGCUCCUAGAUGAUAAACAAGCUUUCUUUUGCUUGUUUUAUAGAUCAAAUCCGAGGUAUUAAGCCUAUGUUGCAUUGGGGCAUCUCAAAUGGGAAUUUUGCUAAUGUGGGGUUUUGAUCUAUUUUGAGUGCUUGGAAACCUAAUUGCUAGGUCAAGAAACGCGUGGGCGAAGACGGAUUGAGCAUUCGUCGAGCCGUUUUAAAGUUAUUAAAGAAAUAAGCCUUGAGGCUUCAUUCUUGCCUGUAGGUCCGAGACGGCAUCGUAUUGUCGUGGGAACGGACGUGUGGCAUCGUGGCGCAUAACCGAAGACCUAUAAUUUCCGGAUUUGUAAAGCGGAACACGGUUGAGGCGCAAGAGCUUGUCGGGCCCAAAGGGUGCCGAGUGCCGCGGGAGGCCGAUUGCAAGUGUCGACAAGCAAUCGGAACGCGAGUUAAGGUGGGUUGUGCUUACCGAAGCGACUAGGUCGCCCUUUAUGUCUUAGCAAUGUAAUCUCACGUUGAUGCAUGUGCAUGUAGACAAGGCUAAAUGAUGCAUUAGUAAAUAUGCAUAGAGUAAAUGCAAGCAAAAUAAAGAAUGCAUGAUGAGCAUGAUAAAUAAAUAAUGCAAGCAAGUAAUUGGAAUGCAUGAUGAUAAUAAUGCAUAGUGUAAAUGUAUGUUAAAUAAUGAUGCAUAGAGCCAUGCUAGUAAAUGUUAAGUAGAGAGCAUGAUUAAUAUAAGAUGCAAAUGCUAAAUGGAAAGCAUGCUAAGUAAUUGAUGCUAGUUGAUGUAAAGAAUGCAUGUACUAAUUAUGCAUAGAUGGAAAUGCUAAGUAGAGAGCAUAAUGAGCAUAGCAUGUAUAUAAUGCUAGUUAAAGUAGAGAAUGCAAAGUAGCAUCAUGAGAGCUAAGUAAGUGACAUGAUAACUCUAGUGUAAAUAGAGUUGAUUGGACAACUAGGUUGUCGGAUAGAUCGAGUGGCAUCUAACCUAGUGUUAAAGAACAUAGGUUGAUUAGUAAACCUAGAGUUGAACAAUCCAGGUGUGUGGCAUUUAACCUAGGUUGAUGAGUAUAGUGGUAUAGCCACUAGAUUGAGCUAGGUCGACAGUAUAGGGUUGGCUAUGAACCCUCGACCUGUGGUAAGUGGAUUCCGGAAUCCCAGGACUUUGCUAUGUUCCUUGUACGGGCUAGGGCGUUCGUGCGACGACUUCGCCGUCGAGCUUUGUACCGAGGUUAGAUUGGGGGCGAUCACAUGAAGAUCACCGCCCGGGGCUUGAACCAUUGUCGUGGCGUUUGUGCGACGAUUUCGCCGCCGGAUGGUUAAGCCGUUUGAGGAUCAGACCGCCAGAGUAGACUGAAUCCAUGCUGGGUAAGUACGAUGCGGGUGCCUCCAGGUGACUGAGUCUGACAUGACCGUUGUUGGGUGUGGUGCGACCCGUUCGCCGCCAGACGGUAUGUCAUGUCUCGAGCUCACGCUGGGUAAGUGCAACGCGAUCGCCACCGAUGGUCAAGUCUUGUGACUCGAGCCGUGUUCAGCGUGUGCGACGAUUUCGCCGCUAGGAGGCUGAGUCAGAGAGAGUGCGGUAGGCUGUUGAGCAGCCAGUGCGCGGACUAUCCGCGGAUGAUUGACUCGAAGCCGAAUCGGGUGGUUAGCUAUGAUAGGGUAGAGGAACCCUUAUGAGCUAGAAAUAGAGGCUUGAGCUAAGGUAAAUAGAAACCUUAGAAGCUAGUGGUUGGUGUUGUGAUCCUAAGGUAAUAGAAACCUUAGAGUAAAAUUAUGAGCUAAAGCAGUCAAGUAAAAGUAGAAUUAAAAUGAUCUACUAGAUGUUGCAUGUUGUUCAUAUCGCAUAUCGUGAGGCAUGGCAUGUAUUUCAAUUGAAUAUAUAUAUCUGUUGUAUAUUGUU
rnacentral:lncRNA from 1 species